UUCCCAUCACUUCCCCCUCAA
ensembl:piRNA 21ur-1650 ncRNA